ACGGUAUGGUAUUGGCUUACCGUGGCAGUGACGGUUAACGGGGGAUUAGGGUUCGAUUCCGGAGAGGGAGCCUGAGAAACGGCUACCACAUCUAAGGAAGGCAGCAGGCGCGCAAAUUACCCAAUUCUAACAGCAUAAGAGAGGUAGUGACAAGAAAUAACAAUACAAGGUAAUUAAAUUGCUUUGUAAUUGGAAUGAUAGAAAUUUAAACACUUUUUAAAGUAUCAAUUGGAGGGCAAGUCUGGUGCCAGCAGCCGCGGUAAUUCCAGCUCCAAUAGCGUAUAUUAAAAUUGUUGCAGUUAAAAAGCUCGUAGUUGAAUUUCUGUUAAAAAUAACCGGUCUGCUUUUAUUAAAAGUGGUAUCUUGGUGUGUUUUUAGCAAUAAUGUCCUUUGAAAUGUUUUUUACUUUAUUGUAAUAAGUCAUUAUUUUGAGGAUUUUUACUUUGAGAAAAUUAGAGUGUUUCUAGCAGGCUUACGCUUUUGAAUACUGCAGCAUGGAAUAAUAAGAUAGGAUUUUAGUUCUACAUUAUUGGUUUUAAGAACUAAAUUAAUGAUUGAUAGGGAUAGUUGGGGGCAUUUGUAUUUAACU
rnacentral:rRNA from 1 species